rnacentral:rRNA from 1 species
GCGUGGGUGAAGAAGGCCUUCGGGUUGUAAAGCCCUUUUGGCGGGGAAGAUGAUGACGGUACCCGCAGAAGAAGCUCCGGCUAACUCCGUGCCAGCAGCCGCGGUAAUACGGAGGGGGCUAGCGUUGUUCGGAAUUACUGGGCGUAAAGAGCACGUAGGCGGUGCGUCAAGUCAGAGGUGAAAGUCCUGGGCUCAACCUGGGGACUGCCUUUGAGACUGGCGCACUGGAGUCCGGGAGGGGGUGGCGGAAUUCCCAGUGUAGAGGUGAAAUUCGU